rnacentral:rRNA from 1 species
GGGCCCGCACAAGCAGUGGAGUAUGUGGUUUAAUUCGAAGCAACGCGAAGAACCUUACCAGGGCUUGACAUCUACCGGAUCCGUAAGAGAUUACGGAGUGCCUUCGGGAGCGGUAAGACAGGUGGUGCAUGGUUGUCGUCAGCUCGUGUCGUGAGAUGUUGGGUUAAGUCCCGCAACGAGCGCAACCCUUAUUGUUAGUUGCUACCAUUAAGUUGAGCACUCUAGCGAGACUGCCGGUGACAAAUCGGAGGAAGGUGGGGAUGACGUCAAAUCAUCAUGCCCCUUAUGUCCUGGGCUACACACGUACUACAAUGGCUGUUAACAGAGGGAAGCGAAGCAGCAAUGCGGAGCAAAUCCCUAAAAGCAGUCCCAGUUCGGAUUGUAGGCUGCAACUCGCCUACAUGAAGUCGGAAUUGCUAGUAAUCGCGAAUCAGCAUGUCGCGGUGAAUACGUUCCCGGGCCUU